rnacentral:lncRNA from 1 species
CCGUCUGUGCGCCAUGGGGGCGAUCAGCUCGGCGGGGAUCUCCAACACCCACGUACGCAGGUGCCUUUACCUUCCGCUCCCCUCUCCCCCUGGCCACUGGCCGCGCUCGCUUGAGAUCUGCCGGAGCUCCGGCCUCCGGCCUCCGGCACCCCUCGAGAGGUUAGGGCCAUUUUAUUGCCAAACUCUAGGGUUCGCAUCGGCUGUUGGGCACCCUCUGUGCUCAAAUUGGCAGCGGGGUUUGAUCCGAGAAGCAAAAGUUAGUGGUUUCUGGGGCAUUGCUACUGACUACGGUAGUAUUAAAUGGCCAGUCGCGUCGUGGGUGGGUGCAAAUUCAGCUUUGGUGGUGUUGGAAUAAACCUGGAUUUUACAAUGUUGCUGUGCGGAUUUUACAUAGCACCUACAUCGCCUCCUGGGGGCACGGUCAUAGAUUUGGCCUUCUUGCCUCAUUUAUGUCACUGUCCACAUGAAGCAGAAUUAUUCAUAGCAAGAAUAACAUCAUGCUAUCUCCCUCUCUUCCACUGUGUUGUCCCAACCUAGAUGCAUAAUCCUAGAUUUUCUUCUAAACAUUGGACCUUUGUUUUGAAACACAACCCUUCAUUGCAUUGGCACCAACCUUACGAGAAUUUCCCUGUAACAGUAUAUGCCAAAACAGUGAUAUGGAUUAACUAGUUACAGAUAGAACCAUUUGAUUAUGCAUAAUAAUAGAAAUCAUUUGUUACCACUGCAAACGAAAGUAUUUUUCAUUGUCAAAUACAGAACACACACCCACUAUUUUUCAUCUCAGGUUCAAAUUACAAAUAUGAAAUCUCUAAAACUAUAUCAGCACCUUGUGACUCUAAAGCCAAGAUUGUUCUUUUGUCCACAUCUGCAUUCUUGUUAUCAAAUCUAAAUCCACGGUGUCACUUAUUGUACUACAACAUACAGUUCACUACAACUGUAGAUGGAGAAUCUUCUACAACUCUCUUAUGAAAUGAUAUUUCAACUUUGUUCAGAAAUCCUACCAUCUACGAUUGAAUCGCAGUCAGUCACUAGCUCUUUUGCUCUUGCCACAAGGGCGGAGAUAGGGGUGCUGUACUCCAUGAGACCUGCAUCACCCAAUAAGAGUUUGUAGUCCUCAGCCUUCGACAGUGUUUGUUCUACCACUGAUAGGGCUUCUGUCAUCCUGAAUUCGUUGAAACAGUUUGCAUAGUGAUAAUUGCACUCCACCAUGUUAAUGACUUGCUCAAGUAUCACCCUUCUGAUCCCAGGACAAUGAGCACUAGGUUCCAUGUUUGCAUUCAACGCAUCAAUCAGCCUCUUCACGAAUCUCUGCUUAAUCUGACCGCCCUCUAGUUCUUCGGUAAAGUCUUUGGGGAUGAUUCUACAAAUCUGUGAACUAAGGCCAAUGAGGAUCUCUAGUUCUGCCCCUUCCACAUCAAUUAUUUUUUCCAACACCUGUAGUGAAAUGUAUCGUCAUUAAUGACAAUAUAAUGUGCAACUAUACUAUGUUAUUCAGUGAUAAGUAAACAUGCAGAAGUAAAAAAUUGCAGGUUAAACUAACACAAACAACUUUACGCACAAGAACAAGUAUAAAUAGUAAACUUCAUUAGCCACCUCUAAUAGUGCAGUCAUUGCUUGUAUUAACAGGGCUCACCUCUCUCAAGGUAUGAGAUAGUUCCUUCAGGUCUGACUCUCUGAGCUCGGGUUGAGCGUGUAGGCACAGAUUGCGCAACAGGCUUGCUGCCACAUAUAUGUACUUGCCAUGGAUCGAGAUCAUAGGUUUGAGUUUCUUAAUGAACUCUGGUUCCUUCAACACAAUCAAGCAAUUUUGGACACUUUCUGUUGUGAGCAUUGCCAGUGCUUGCCCGGUGACCUUCCGUGAUAAGUGAUCAGCAUUGGUACUCAUGGUUCCUUCUCCAUUGAUAAAUGUCUGCGUCAGCCUAAUGAUGAUCAGUUGAAUGCGACCAAUCUCCUGCCUUGUGUUCCCAUCAAUGGCAAUGUUCCUGAGGAUUCCUGCCACCAACUUUAUCAAUUCCUGGCUGCUCCCGUUGUAUUCCAAGGUUUCUGCAAGGUUUCUCAAUAGCAAGGGAUGUUUUGAUAUCUUGUACCGCAGUGUUAUGCCGAUUUCCCCACCAAUGCUUGCGAGUCUUUGCAGCACUGUCAGUGAUGACUUAAGCAGGAGCUUUUGUUGUGUUUCGGUAUCCACAGUGUUCAUGGCAUGUCUGAAUCUUGUGAAUCCUAUGAUCUUCGGGAUGAGGUUAGCUGCAUUGCUGAUUUGCACACAGUUUUCCUGAUCACAACCAGCAAGACUUUCAAUAAUUGACAUGGCCAGUGCAGGGAGAAGAUCAUGGUCUGUCGGUAGCUGCUCCUUGGGAACCGAACAUAAUUCUAAAAUAUGCUGCCAGCAUUUGAGUAUGUAAGAAUUUGGCUUGUCAUUGCAGGCUUGUUGGGUUGAGCAGGCUUGUGUUUCCUCGAGCAGGUUAUCGGUGUCUUGAAGUUGUUCUCGUCUUUGCCCUUGGUUAUCAGCUACAUCCCUUACUGUAUGUUGCUCUUGGCCAUCUUCCAGAAAUUGGUCUUGUUUUUCUUGUUCAUCAUCUGUGUCCAGAAGCAGAUUUCCUCUUUUUGUUCCACUGUCAGCAUCAAGAAGUGCGGACACAAGCUGUAUUGUACCGGGGAAAGUGACGACACGGAGGUCCUUUGCAAGUUCAGCGGUGACCUUCGCAGCAUAUAAUCUGAUAGUUGUAUCCUUUGGACUUGUCCAAUCCAACAUGCUAAUUAUUCUGGCCACUGUCUUGGUAGAAGUGGCGAGUUUUGAAAGUAGUUGUGCCUUGGUUGGCUCCCUUUGCAGAAAGCUGGGCAUCAUCUGAAUACCAUAGAUCUGAUUCUUGGAUGAAUCCGAGUUUAGAGAAUCCAUGGCAAAGUUACUCAGGCUGAUCUUCUUUGGAGCAAGCACACCCUCCUGCAUGCAUUUCUCCAAGGCGUACGCAUAGUACAGAUCGACAGAUUUCACUCCCCAGUAACCUCUAAACCCACCACAAUGGACAAGGAAUCUCCGAGGGAUGAAAGAAAAUAACUCGAGCAUGCAAGCCACAGCGUAGAGGACUCCUUGCCCAAGCACCAUCCAAUAGAAAAUUCUGAGAGAUGCUUUCAGGUUCUCUUGAUCAUCCUUGUACUCAUGCUGUAAGCCCAAGCUUGCUAGCCAGAUACGCACCACUGCUGCUGGAACCUGGAAGUUGCCAAAUGACACCACCACCAAGGCACACGCUUGAACUAUCAAGAUAACAAGGAUGUUCGUGGGUUGACCUAACUGUAGGAUGUACACCUGCAUCCCUAGCGCAGCAAUCAUGCACAAGUUUAUAACAACUCGGUGCCAAAAUUCCUGUUUGCUGCCAAGAAUACUAUCCGCUAGUUUAAUGACUCUGGUGAACCGUAGCCUGCUUAUUGUUACCAAUAGCACUGGCACCAGUAGUGUUGUGAAUACAAUCCAACUGAUCAGGCCUAUCCAUCUGUUGUAUGGAUCAUGAUCAUCACCAUCAUAUGUGUAUUUAUUAAUACAAGCUGAUAGAGGGGGAGCCGUGAGUAAAAUUGCAACCAAGGGGCUCCAUAGCGAUGUGGCACGGCUUAGCGGUUUCCAUAUGUGCAGUUUCAGCCCGGACAGGAACCGGACAGUUGCAAGUAUUAUUACCAUCGCUAGAAGCGUCAUAUCAGUCAUAUAAUAUUUCCUCCAGAGGAUCACGAAAACAUCAAAAAAGCAUAGUACCACAACCAGUCCAUUCCAUCCCAUAGGUCUAAAGGCUCCCCUUGUGUUAAAGAACAGUUGGUAAUCCAUUCUGUUGUUGCGGGUGAACAUCCUGAAUUAUCAAGUAUGCAUAUAUGGUGUCAUUAAAUGAUAUAUGGACACAAACCCAAGAUGAUGAGCAUCCAGAUCAUACUCCAGUGUUUAAGAAAGAUAGACAUGAUUCCAGUAGAUCAUAAUAAUGCUAGGCUCUUGUUAAAUCGGACCCUAACUGUGCUAAGCCUAGCUUGGUGGCAUUGAUGCAGCAAUAGGCAGAGUAUAUUUUUCUACUAGCGGUCGAUGAACUAGUUGCAAGUAUAGAUGUUUCCAAUGCAUGCCCUGCUAGUUUCAAGUUUGGGUCGUUAAACCUAAUUUCAUGACAGGGACGGUAGAAAAGUUGCAUUAUUCUAGGAGAACACCGACGGCGUACCUAUAAUUGAGUGAUAAUUGUUAUUAUUAUAUAAUUACUCACAUGUUGUCAAUAUACAAGUUUCCAUGGCUUAACUGGGGAAAGUCUAACAGGAAGCUAGGAACCUAUAUCCAUAAUUGGGGAAAGGCUAAUUUCAAUCGUUAGAUUGUACACUUCAAAACUUCCAAUUUUUUUAUGGUACUACAUAGUGUUAAUUUAGGUACAUGUACACAAAUUGGAGAGAGAAGCCUAACCCAACUUGUUUGGGACUAAAGACUUUGUUGUUGUUGUUGUAGUACACAGAUUGGAGAGAGAGAGAAAGGUUAUAACAAAGCUCAUCAAUGCAGGUGGGUGACCAUGGGCUAGCAAUCAAUCAGCCAGCCUCAUAUCCUCCUGGCCAUAUUGCGCUAAGCAGUACUGGCGCUAAGGUAUGAGCAUCCGUUACACUCUUUUCUGCCAACAAAUGUUCCUAAAUUAACGCUUUAUGAUAUGUUGAGGUUAAUUUUGAGAACUUCCGUAAAAAUGUACAAAUCAGCGAGAGGUUUCUAUUCAUGGAUGUAUGUAUGCUCACAAAAACUGAUUAUCAUCAUACCUUAUAGCUUCGAGGAAUACUAUCGCUGCUGCAUACCAAAAAUCAUGAUCCAAACUGAGAUCCUUGGAGUAGCCUCCGAGCAGGACAACAGUCGCCCACGUGAAGGCCAGCGUGCCCAAGGCAUUGCCAAGCCUCUCGAUCAGCGCGACGAAGCGAACAAAGUGAUUCAGCCCCAUUUCCGGCUUGGCAGCAGCAGCGGCCUUGUCUACUUGUCUGGCACCGUAAUGAGAUGGUGGCAUUGAGAUGCAGUGCUCUCUCCCUCGUCCGUUGGCCAUUGCUUGGACGGGCUCGGGAGCUUCUCAGCGGCGAUUGAUUGUCUGAUUAUCUAUGCAACAGUGAAUGAGACCCAGAUGCUACGGAUUGCCAUAUGGCAUGGUAACACCACGCUGCCGUUGCCUGUCACGGUAGGUGAGUCGAUUAGUUAAACCUCGGAAUAUAUAAUAGUGGACGUGCUUUUAAGAAAAGCAUGCCAAAGUGCUGCACAUAUUUUACUGCUGAUCGCUUUUGUUUGUGCCAUGCAUGGUGCCUGCCUUCAUCGGCAUGCCUUAUCCAUCACAUGCGCACAUGUCAUUGAACUAGGAGGACAUACACUGAUGAUCUCAUGACCAUGUGGCUGGAUUUAAAAUUCAUUGCCAGUUCUAAAGGAGUCUUCCUCCAAAUCACUGUAUGAGUGAACUUGGGAGGUGCCCAAACCUGCCGUGUUGCCAGCUGUAUGGCAAAUUAAAAUUUCCCCCAAGAUGCAGGGUUUCCUGUGGCUUCUAUCUCAGAACAAAGUGAUGGCCUGUGAUAACUUGAGGAGGAGGAGGGGCAUGGCAAAACCUCUCGAGUGUAGACACUACUGAAACUGAGUCGGUGUAGCAUUUGUUUUUUGAGUGUAUUGUUGCAAAAGCCAUUUGGGAUGAUGUUGAGCUUAUAUUUGAUGUUAGCAUUGUGGAUUUUAAGUCUUUAGCUGUUCAUAGGAUUUGAUUUAAGAAAAGCUCUCAGUUAAACUUUGUUUCUUCUGCUGUUCCGUGGGGAGUAUGGAAUUGCAGAAAUGAUUGGAUUUCUAUGAAACAGGUGUGGCAUCUGAUAGUAGGACAUCUGAGGAAAAAGAUGCCUUGUUCAGGGGGUUGAUGCCCAGGAAACCGAGAUCGCCAAUGAAACUGGAACCAGGCUGAUCGGUACGGUGGUUUCGGACCAUCCAUCCUGGGCUGAAGCCGGUGCUGAUGCUGAGCAUGGUGGCCGUGCUUCUCUGAGCUACCUGAUGAAGAAUCGACAAAGGAGUGAUGAAAUCCAUGUCGUCUCGGACUGGGAGAAGCUCGAAGAUUGAUGCUGCUAGCUUGUCUGUCUUGGCUAGUGUUGCUUUACAUGUUGCUUUCUGCUCCAUGGAGUUUGUAACGAACUUAAUUGUUUUACUUUUGCGUUGCGUUCCUUGCCCCUCUGGCUCGGGGGGAGAGAUACGUGCUGUGAAAGCUAAUUCCAAAUAGCUGUUUCGAUGUGCUGUAGAUCAUGUUGCAGACAGGCCUUC